AACCUCUGGAGCAAAGACAAUACUUCACAGCAUCCACCAGAGGGAGACACUGUCAUUAACUGAUGGUUUGGGAUCAACUAGAUUGAGACUGAGAUAUUUUCCCUUGACUCACGAGUGUCAAGAAUCGUUGUUGUGAUGCCAGAGAAGCUUAUUGUUGCUCAAGAUGCUCUCCCUAUUAGCUCUUCGUCAGCAUAUUUAGUCUCGUAGUGUAACUUUAUGAGUCAUUUAUUCCUUUUGACAGGGCUGGCCAGAAAUAAGACAUUAUUAAACUGAGAGAAUGGAUCCUGACCACUGUGAGUGGGCCCCAGGCUAGGUUUUGGACAUGCCUGAGAUCAACUAUGGAAACCUUGGUUUUACUCAUGUCCAAGGAAGGUGAGAGCUGUGUUGGAUUUAGUAAAGGCGGGUUGUAAUUUAGUGUUGAACUGUCUGUUAGUGAACAAAGUCAAUGUGCACCAGCUUAAAGCUCUAAUGGUACAGGACAAGCAGUACCAGGAAAGAACAGAGGUACAAACUCUGAGUGCGUAGACGUCAGUAGGGGGAGUAUCACAGGGCUGUGAAUGAGCCUUAUCACUGAUCACGUUCCUCCUUCUUAACCCAGAGGUCACAGCUGAGCUCUUCCUGCUGUAGCUCACACUUCAACCCUGCAGAUACGAUGCCUGUCUUCAUGUCAGUGCUGCUGGCUGCCAUGUGCCUUGAAUGCAGGGCACAAAUAGACAAUGUGCUGCAACCAAGAAGACACGUGACUGCUACUGAGGGACAGGCAGUAACACUGGACUGCUUCUAUAACAGCAGUUCAUCCAAUGACUAUCUGUACUGGUACAAACAGGAUGGAAGCAACGGACCAAGAUUCAUCAUGAGCAACUUUAGGAUUGGUGAAGGAAGAACAGAGGACGAAUUUAAGGAAAGAUUUUCAUCCAUACUGAAUUCAACCAUUAGAUCGGUUCCUCUGAAGAUCCAGAAGCUUCAAAUGUCUGACUCUGCUGUGUACUACUGUGCUCUGAGGCCCACAGUGACAGGAAACACCUCAACUCUGUACAAAAACCUCUGGAGCAAAGACAACACAAUGCUCCACAGCAUCCACCAGAGGGAGACACGGUGAUAAACUUCAGGAGUUCAGACGAGAAAUGCUCAAACAACUAAAACGAGACUCAUUCUGUUAAGGUCUGCCUGAAAAUGGCAGGACAUGUUGAAAAUAAGGUUAUGUAUCCAAUUACAGAAACUGGCAAAAAUGUUUAACAAAAGAUCAAAACAACCAAAAACACUCCCAUACACAAAAGACUAAAACACGGAGAAAAAAUACUAUUGGCAAGAAACCUUGGCUCACAGGACAAGAUGAGAGAACAGAACUAAAUAGUCGGCAUGGCACGUUUGACAUGGACGACAGCAACUGACAGGAAACUCAUCCAACAACAUCUUUUCCUUCUUUGAUUAUUAUUUUUUAAAUCAGAAUGUAAUUCAACUGAACAUUUCGGUCCUAUGUAUUUCAGUUUGCCCUCUGAGACAAACUGAAAUACAUAUAGCUGAAAUGUUCAGUAUCAUAAUAAUACCACUACCUAGGACUUACUGCCAUUGUUAUGAAAUCAACACCUCCCUCUACAACUGGAUUUUAGACUUUCUCACCAGCAGAACUCAUCAUGAGAGAUCAGGCCACAACCACUCCACCAGCAUUACCUUCAACACUGGUGUACCACAGGGCUGUGUACUCAGCCCAUUCUUCUACUUACU